rnacentral:sRNA from 2 species
GCUACUAUUACUUUACCAGCCUCGAAAUUUCUGUGUCCUUUAUUCUGGAUUCUACUAAAUUAUGGUUCUGCGGGCCGUAAAAACCCAAUACAGGGAACUCUGUGAACGGCCAUGAACACCCUUUUCGUCGUGGAGACUGGAUCAAUGAUGUUGAAGACCCUAGCUAGUCGGGAUGUUGACCGCUAACAUUGACCGCUUAAAUUUUGCCUUGUGGGCGACAACCGCGCUUCCCUCCAUACGUUGCAUCAAUUUUGACGAACCUUGUUGGCACAACACCCGACAUUUGAUACUGCGACGCGCUUGGGCACGCAUUUUAUGCGGGAACUGUCCUGAGAAAUGAGGAGAUGGCUAAACGUCAUAAGAAAUGUUCAUAUCUCUACAGACAAUGCUACAGUGUGGCAUAUGGAAAAUUACCUUACUCUGUUUGAUUGAUUUGUCACUCCCUAUGCUAAAUACUGGCGAGUUCAUGAUGAAAUACGUUAACCCAAGAUCGACCGUAUGGGUUGUGGCAUGCGAGAAUGUAUUGCUUCUGCUUCCGAAGCCCCUGACCUGUCACAGGCCGAGCACUGUGUUGGUUAUCCAGGGUCAUUCC